rnacentral:rRNA from 1 species
AGGACGAACGCUGGCGGCGUGCUUAACACAUGCAAGUCAAGGGGGAGUCGCAAGACUCAACCGGCGAACGGGUGCGUAACACGUGAGCGACCUACCUAAUUGUGGGGGAUAGCCGGCCCAACGGCCGGGUAAUACCGCAUACGAUCGGAGAGGGGCAUCCCUUUCUGAGGAAAGCCUUCGGGCGCAAUUUGAGGGGCUCGCGGCCUAUCAGCUAGUUGGCGGGGUAACGCCCACCAAGGCGACGACGGGUAGCU